UGCUGCGUAGCUCAGUCGGUAAGACGCUUGACUUUAGAGAGACAGGUCGCGGGUUCGAGCCCCGCAGAGGUGU